rnacentral:rRNA from 1 species
CUGAUUAUAUUAAAGAGCCGCAGUAUUCUGACUGUGCGAAGGUAGCAUAAUAAAUUGUCUUUUAAAUGGAGGCUUGAAUGAAAGGUUGGACAAAGUAUCAUCUGUUUCUUAAAUAUUUAUUGAAUUUGACUUUCAAGUGAAAAGGCUUGAAUAAAUUAAAAAGACGAUAAGACCCUAUAAAUCUUUACAAUAAACAUGUUCUAUAUUUUAAUUUAUAAAUAUAUAAAAUAUUAAAUUUGUAUUUGUUUCGCUGGGGCGGCGUGGAUAUAUUAAUAAACUGUCUGUGUGUUAAAUCCAAUAAUUAUUGAUUAGUGAGAUUGAUCCUUAAAUAGAUUAAAAGAUUAAGAUACUUUAGGGAUAACAGCGUUAUUUUUUUUGAGAGUUCUUAUCGAAGAAAAAGUUUGCGACCUCGAUGUUGAAUUAAAGUAUCUUUAUGGUGCAGCCGCUAUAAGAGAGAGUCUGUUCGACUUUUAAUGCUUUACAUGAUCUGA